ensembl:lncRNA novel transcript
GGACCACCACCCGCCACCGCCGCGCGAGCGUACUAUUGCGGCCGCCCUCUGCUGCGCCUGAAGAGAGAGGCGACUCUACAAGCCUCACAGCAUGCACUGUUACUAAAAAGACGAUGCGUCCUCCUGGACCUGAGAUCUGUGUGAUCGUGGGAAAGCGACGAAAAACGAACAAAGGAACAGUAAAUGGAGUAACUUGGCUAGAAUAUGGCAGUAACUACAAGGCAUGUUCUGCUCUGGCACGAAGUCUCGCUCUGUCACCCAGGCUGGAGUGCAAUGGCACGAUCUUGGCUCACUGCAACCUCUGCCUCCCAGGUUCAAGCGAUUCUUCUGCC